rnacentral:rRNA from 1 species
GGCGGACGGGUGAGUAACGCGUGGGUAACCUGCCCUGUACAGGGGGAUAACAGUUAGAAAUGACUGCUAAUACCGCAUAAGCGCACAGGGCCGCAUGGUCUGGUGUGAAAAACUCCGGUGGUGUAAGAUGGACCCGCGUCUGAUUAGGUAGUUGGUGGGGUAACGGCCCACCUAGCCCGCGAUGGGUAGCCGGGUUGAGAGACCGACCGGCCACAUUGGGACUGAGAUACGGCCCAGACUCCUACGGGAGGCAGCAUG